rnacentral:sRNA from 1 species
AGAUGGCGUCCAAGUGUACAGUGGCCAGUGUGAUUCCGCAGUCUUGGGCUGUUCGGCCAAGCGCCCACCGGACGUGGGACGCUGGAGGGUCAGCAGCGUGGAGUCCUGGCCUUCAGCGUCCGCGGCUGGGAAAUCGGCCAUCGCCACGGCGGGAACUAGGACUGGCUGCGUCCCGGCCCUUCCCCAUCCGUCCACCGGACUCGUGGGCGCCCGCACUGGCUCUGAUGUAGUUUCCUGACCUCUGACACGUAUUGUCUCAAGAUUAAAGGAAUCAGGAGCUUCUUUUGCUGUUCUUCUGUUUUGGAUGCAUUGGAAGGUCCAGAUUUGGAACAAGUCUCUCUAGAGAUUGAACAGAACUGUGCCUGGAUCCCGCCGCAGUGAGGAGACCUGAAGACCAGAGGAAACACAGCAAACAGAGUCUCGCUCUGUUGCCCAGGCUGGAGUGUAGUAUGGCGAUCUCUGCUCACUGCAAGCUCUGCCUUCCGGGUUCACACCAUUCUCCCACCUCAGCCCCUGGAGUAGUUGGGACUACAGGCUCAUGCUACCACACCUGGUUAAUUUUGUUUUUGUGUUUUUAGUAGAAACGGGGUUUCACCGUGUUGGCCAGGAUGGUCUGGAUCUCCUGACCUCGUGAUCUGCCCACCUCUGCCUCUCAAAGUGCUGG